GGUCAGAUGUGUAUAAGGGGCAGGUGAGUCAUCGAAUCUUUGAACGCACAUUGCGCCCCUUGGUAUUCCGGGGGGCAUGCCUGUUCGAGCGUCAUUAUAACCCCUCAAGCUCAGCUUGGUGUUGGGGCCUGCCAACUGGCAGCCCUUAAAAUCAGUGGCGGCGCCAUCUGGCUCUAAGCGUAGUAAUUUCUCUCGCUAUAGGGUCCCGGUGGAUGCUUGCCAACAACCCCCAAUUUUCUAUGGUUGACCUCGGAUCAGGUAGGGAUACCCGCUGAACUUAAGCAUAUCAAUAAGCGGAGG
rnacentral:misc_RNA from 1 species